GGUUUAAUUACCCAAGUUUGAGGUAAGUUUGAGGUAAUUGAAUGUUUCGGUGCAGAGUUUCGGCUGCUGUGGCUUGAAGUAAAAUUUGGAACGUCCUGCCAUCAACGGAACAAC
rnacentral:sRNA from 1 species